CAAUGCUACGGUAAGAGAUUUUUCUUUCACUAAUAAUGUUCAAUUUAUUCUAAAUGCAGAUACAAAUGAUCUUUGCUAAAUAACAGUAAGUAAUAAUAGUAUUUGUAAUAGUAAUUGAAAUGGUCAUGUUCAAGAUGUGCUAACAGUAUAGGGUCACAGCAAAAAUGUAACCAUGAAUCAAUGUGUUCUUUUUCCUUGAAGGGUCCACUCAUUUUCAUUACCUAAAGAAAGGGGAGGAGGUAACACUGUCCUGUGAAACAUGUCAAUGGCAGGCUGAUGUGAAUUCAGACAACAAAGUGGACUGCAACAUCAUAGGGAGUAUUUAUACAACGACCUCAAUAUGCCCUACUAGAAGACAGGACCUUUGCCAAGAGAUAAAGAGAAACAAACCCACCUCUUGUGAAAUCCGUGUAAUGAGGGGAUUCUUUGCCUGUGUUAAUGCUACAUCUGACUCCUGCUUCAUGUAUCCGUUCAAACCCUCUUCUCAUCAUGUGGAGUCCUUCAUUGUUGCUCAGGCAGAACCAGACAUUGGGUCUGGACCUGUAAUGGAAAACUCAGUGCUUGUGUCUGGAGGAGAAUCAAUUAAUCUGACGUGCGCUUUUAAAAUAAACAGGAGUUACUAUUUUAAUCCUUUUGUGGUGUACUGGAUCAAGACUGGUGCUCAGAGCAGCACAUGUGUUUAUUCCUUUCAUUACGCUACACAUGAUGAUCAUGGUUUUGAUGACCACUGUGCCAUUGACAGAGAUCUUCUGUUAAGGAGAUCAAACACAUCAAGACCCUCCCUUGGUGACAACAACCAUAACCUGAAGAUCAGCAAAGCCACUCAUUCAGACCGUGGACAGUAUCUGUGUGUCUUAAUGGUGAACAGUAAUUACCAGCAGUACUGGGCAGUAAUAACCAACACUACAGUCAUUGUAGAUAAUCCUGGUAAGACUAUGAACCUUAUUUGAAAUUGUAUUUCCUCUCAUUUUAUUUUGUCACAUUGUGCUUCAACAGUUGAACUUGAGCAGUUAGUUGGAUUUGUAUUUUAAAAACCUUAACAUGGAUACAACCAUUAUUUACAUAUGGGACUUGGUUUCCAAAGGCAUUCAUGUUUUAUGUAAUCCAGGCUUAUCCUCAUGUGCUUGUCCUCAUGUGCUUUGAAAUGUAAUGAAUAAUAGUGAGCCAUCAGAGUUGCUAUGCAAGAUAUGAUAUACUGUAUGUCAGAAUGUAAACUGAGCACAAAUGCAGGACCACAAAAAUAAUUAAAACAGUAACUACAAGAUCAUUACUUCUUGACAGUAACUCAGAACUUCCUCAGAACAACAAAGAGCUUGAAAACAGUUCAAGUACAUGAUGUCAUCCACAA
rnacentral:lncRNA from 1 species